CGGGCAGUAAUUCAGUGGUAGAGUUCCCGCUUUGUAUGCGGGGAGACCCAGGUUCCAUUCUGGGCUGCUUAC
rnacentral:tRNA from 1 species